rnacentral:rRNA from 1 species
UUUGACAUGGCUCAGAUUGAACGCUGGCGGCAGGCCUAACACAUGCAAGUCGAGCGGUAGAGAGAAGCUUGCUUCUCUUGAGAGCGGCGGACGGGUGAGUAAUGCCUAGGAAUCUGCCUGGUAGUGGGGGAUAACGUUCGGAAACGGACGCUAAUACCGCAUACGUCUACGGGAGAAAGCAGGGGACCUUCGGGCCUUGCGCUAUCAGAUGAGCUAGGUCGGAUUAGCUAGUUGGUGAGGUAAUGGCUCACCAAGGCGACGAUCCGUAACUGGUCUGAGAGGAUGAUCAGUCACACUGGAACUGAGACACGGUCCAGACUCUUACGGGAGCAUCAGUGGGGAAUUUACAAUGGGCGAAAUCCUGAUCCACCAUGCCGCGUGUGUGAAGAAGGUUUCGGAUUGUAAACAUUAAUUGGGAGGAAGGGCCAUUACUAAUACGUGAUGUUGAGUCCAC